rnacentral:lncRNA from 1 species
ACCGCUUACCUCAUUAUGAACUAUAUUUAAACACCACUUCCCCAUUCUCAAGUGUCUGUUCUCAUCUGUAUCCAGUGAGAGACUCACCUGCCAUAUUUACUUGCUGUUACCCACAAUCUGUGAAAUAGAAAGAUGAUUCUUUCAGUGGGAGGUGUGUCUACAUUACAGACAGUUUACCAGAUCAGUCAAAUCUGCUAAUCUGACACCAGAUUACUGUGGUAGAAUCAGCCUCUUAAUCCAUAUCAGAUGAUAAAACUGGAAGCCUUCAGUUCAAAGGAACAGGCAUUUUAACAACCGAGUCUAAUUUGGCACAUUAUUGUUUCCAUCUCUGUGUAAAAACUGAAGUCUGUUGUUGUUCGCCUUGAAAACUCAAAGUCAGCAACUUCCA